rnacentral:rRNA from 1 species
UUCUUAACGAUAUUAUAUUAAGUAAUGCCUGCUCCAUGACAAUUAAUAGCCGCAGAAUUUACUGUGCUAAGGUAGCAUAAUCAUUUUCCUUUUAAUUAAAGGCUAGAAUGAAUGGCUUAACAUUAAAUUUCUUUUUUAAUUUAUAUGUAAAAUUUAUAUUGAAAAUUAAAAUAUUUUCAUUUAUUCUAAAGACGAUAAGACCCUAUCAAACUUUACUAUUGUUUUGCUGGGGCAGCAAGACAAUAAAAAUUUUGUUUAAUAUAUAAUUUUAAAUAACCCAAUAUUAUUGAAAUUUAAUCAAGUUACUGUAGGGAUAACAGCACAAUUCUUUUUAAAAGUUCUAAUUUAAAAAAGAGAUUGUGACCUCGAUGUUGAAUUAUUUACCUUAUAGGCGCAAGAGUUGGUUAAGGGGGUCUGUUCGACCCUAAAAAUUUUACA